UACGUAGGGUGCGAGCGUUAAUCGGAAUUACUGGGCGUAAAGUGUGCGCAGGCGGCCGAGCAAGUCGAGUGUGAAAGCCCCGAGCUUAACUUGGGAAUUGCGCUCGAAACUACUUGGCUGGAGUGUGGCAGAGGAAGGUGGAAUUCCAGGUGUAGCGGUGAAAUGCGUAGAGAUCUGGAAGAACAUCGGUGGCGAAGGCGCUCUGCUGGACCAUAACUGACACUCAGGGACGAAAGCUAGGGGAGCGAAUGGG
rnacentral:rRNA from 1 species